CCCACACGUGACCUGACCUGUUCUCUUCUUUCUUCUCCCGUCCUCUCCCCUUUAUUUCAUCGCCGCCGUCCUCCGGAGUCACUGCUGUUUUCCAACGUUCUCUGAACCAAAACCACUCGCCAUCGCCCGCUCCCAAACCCAAAACAAAACAAGAAUCCGAGCUUUCCCGCCCUUCUCCUCGGCGAUGGCGGCUCUAAACGGCCUGUUGAGGGCCGGCGCCGCUGUCCGUCGGCCGACAGCGGCGGCGAGGAGGUGGAUCUCGUCGCUGGCCUCCUCGGAGGCUGAUACCCGCGUCGCCGCGAGCCUCGCCCGCCAGGCGAUGCCAGGGAGGAGGGAUCCUGGGAGCCGGAACGUGCAGUGGGUGUUCCUUGGGUGCCCCGGCGUGGGGAAGGGCACCUACGCUAGCCGACUCUCCCAGCUCCUCGGUGUCCCCCACAUCGCCACCGGCGAUCUCGUUCGCGAGGAGCUCGCAUCCUCCGGUCUCCUCGCCCAACAGCUUGCUGAUACCGUAAAUCAAGGCAAGUUGGUGUCAGAUGAGAUCAUCAUCGAUUUGUUGUCUAAACGUCUUGAAAAUGGAGAAGCUAAGGGUGAAUCAGGAUUCAUUCUUGAUGGUUUUCCAAGAACAAUAAGACAAGCGGAAAUACUGGAGGGAGUGACAGACAUUGACCUGGUUGUGAACCUUAAGCUUAGAGAAGAUGUACUGCUUGCAAAGUGCCUUGGUAGAAGGAUUUGCAGCCAGUGUGGAAAGAACUUCAACGUCGCCUCCAUCAACAUCAAGGGCGAGAAUGGGAGACCUGGCAUGUUCAUGGCCCCACUUCCACCUCCUGCACAGUGCAUUUCAAAGCUAUUUACUCGAGCUGAUGAUACCGAAGAGGUGGUAAAAGAGCGUUUACGCAUAUACCAUGAAACGAGCCAACCAGUCGAGGAGUUCUACCGCAGCCGAGGGAAGCUCUUGGAGUUUGAUUUGCCAGGAGGGAUCCCAGAGUCUUGGCCAAAGCUGCUGCAAGUUUUGAAUCUUGAAGACCAUGAUGAUAAGCAAUCAGCAGCAGCGUGAUUAUAAGUCAAAGGUCACAGAUUCUCUGCAUGUGCGUUGUGCGUGCUUUGUGAUUUUUCAACAAUUCUUUGAAUAAAAUUUCAAACCAAGCCCACGAUUUAUAAAGGAUGCUAAUUGUUUUGAGCUUUAUUUAUUGGAGGAAAGGUGCAAUAUGGAAGUAAUAGGAUAAUUUUGGAUUAUGUAUGCUGAAAUUUUUCAGAUAAACUAAUUUUAUGGUUUGGUUUUCCAAACGUGUAAACUGUCGCAGCUGUUUAUGAAGCGACAGGAUGAUGCAUUGGCCAAGAAACAUUUGAGUCACCUAACUGCUAGCAAGCCUUCGGUGGUCUUUUGGAAUCAAAGGAGCUCACAGUGGCGCAGUCUGUUCACCAAAAAGAGAUUCUUGCUUUAAUAUCUGGACUUGCAAAUUAGACUUUCAAGUUAGUGAAGUGAGGUCUGGGAGUUGCUGAGUAGUGGACAAGCUCUAAAGCUCACAGAACCAGAAAGACUCAUCUUGAGUCAAGCCUGGGAUCGUAUGAGCUGGAAUGGACUGGAGCAAAAGAUAUUAGAUGGCUUUCUGUUUCUUCCGGAGGGCAACUGCUGGAAACAUGGUAGCUCCCAUGGAGAUGCAUCUUUAUUUUGGUUCAGCCCCAGCAGCGAUAGUGCUGAACUUACUGAAGAUAGGGAAAGCUUAUCCGCUGUGAACGUAGAUGGCAUUUUUCUCGUUCCUUGUGGCGUUCCAGCCCAUUGCUUUGGCACCGGCUCAUGCAAUGGGGGAUUGGCCCUGGAACACUGAAUUCCUGGUUGGCCCUACUACCUGCUUUCUAGUGAGUAAUAUGACUCAGAAAUCAGUUGAAUUUUCACAAGUAUCCUUGAUAAAAUUUUUUAUAUUGACAUAAUAAGAAUUAUAUCCUUAUUUACUCUAGCAAGAGUGCUUAUCGGUUGUUAUUAUUCACCAUUUUUCAUGCUGACUCUGUGAGAGCUCUUCUGUUGUCGAUCCACUAAAUAUAAUAGGACUUGUUACCGGAUUUGAAAUACUGAUAUAAACUUGCAUCAGUAGCAUGAGCGUGCAAGCAGCCAUGGCAACACCAGCCAGCCUGGUCAUUGUUAAACUGAAAAGAAAGUGCAUCUUGAAGAGGUUGGAUACACUGUGACAGCUCGCUGCAUCAUUUUCAUCUGAAGCCAAAUAAAGACAUGGAAGCAAGAAUCUUUUUACCUCAGAGGAGCCAACUUCAAUUAGUUUGCAGCUCAUGAAGCAGUCUGAAGGCCUGUGCUGAUGGCUGCCUUUUAAUUCUCAAUCCAACUUGUACAUAAAACCAAGCAAAUAUUUUAUGAUAAUACAUACAACAGGGUAACCUGCCCCCUACUAUAA